rnacentral:rRNA from 1 species
GCUUUUAAUAAUUUAGUUGAUACCAAUUCACGAAGUGUGCGGAGCUAAUUAUAUAAUAAUAUUAGUUAUUAAGUUAUAUGUGGCAACAUAUAAGGAAUAUAAAUAAUUAGUAGUGAUAGGCUUUUCAACGUGCUGGAUAUCUUGAUCUUUAGGAAAAAUAUGAAGUAUUUUGGUCACUCUAGAAAUGGUUAGGUUUCUAGUUAACAUUAAAAAUAUUUUGGUAGAUUAUAGUUUUUUUAGUAAUUACUAUUUUACUUAUUUAAUAAUAAAAUAUUAUAAAUUUGUGAACUCUACUAGAGGAUUUUGCUUGCUUACUAGAAAAAUUUUAAAUGAAAGUAUUAGUAUUUUAUACAUUCCAUAAAGGAACUCGGCAAAACUUUUGCUCAACUGUUUAACAAAAACAUAGCUGAACGAUAUUAUGUUUAGUUUUUUCUGCUCAAUGGAUUAUCUAAAUAGCCGCAGUA